AAGCGACAGCGGCAAGACAUGUUUAGAGCCAUUCGUUCUUUCUGUUAUUUUGGUUAACAUUUUUUAGUUAACCUACGUUAUGUUCUGUCAACGAAUCUAAUGAACAAAGCUCUAUGCCACAUCCCGAUGAAAACCACUAGCAUCAUUCCAAGUUCCAGGUGGGCUAACAACACAUUUGACGUUUGGAACCUUCUUGAACUGAAUUAUGCCUUUUUCGGUAUCGUGGUAUCCAUGGCCCGUCAGUUGGUUUUUCCGGACCACGAUAUUUUCUGUUGAGGCAUGGAUGGUGCUUUUGUGAGCUGUUCUGCGCAGUUGAACUUGGUUAUCCGAGGACAUAAUGUCUGAUUGUAUGAUAAGUCUUCUAGAGGAUACCGUUUCUCUUCUCGUCAUGGACUCCUGGGCCAGAGUUGACCCGGAUGAUUCCAAGUUCGGGGAAGGGGGGGGGGGCUGACCAUUUCCGAGUCAGGCUGACCCGAAAGGAGGAUUUAAAAAUGGGAUGUUAACUCUGUGUAAAUUUUACUCACAAUCCAGGUCAUACUGACCAAAAGCUGGAUCUGGAUUUCACAAAGAGUUUAGACAAGCCUCAACUCGAGGAUGAGUUACUCGUCCUAACUUAGUUUUCAAUUACUCCUAAAGAGUCAUAGGACUAUGUCCUACAUUAUGGACUAGUUUGAUUAUGUUUGAUAGGACUCGGUGUUUUUAUGUGUUCAUCUUAAACGACGGGAUGAAGAUGAUUCUGCUCUUCAAAAAUACCGAAGUUAAAACUGUUCAUCUUUGAACAUGUUGAAAGGCUAGGCCACUUUCAGUUCGCGAUGGGGCACUUCCUACAAAAUCUUAAAGUCAAUGGGAAACU